UUUGGCUACCCAGCAGCAUAUGGAGUUCUCCGGCUAGGGAUUAAUUAGAUCUAAGCUAUAGUUUCGACCUACACUUUAGCGGCUGCUACACAGGAUCCGUAACCUACUGUGCUGGGCUGGGACUUGAACCUGUGACCCAGCACUCCAAAGAGGCCACUGAUGGUGUUGCACCACAGUGGGAACUCCUUUUUUCUUUUUUUGGCCACACCUGAGGCAUAUGGACGUUUCUGGGCCAGGGACUGAAUUCAAGCCAAAGCUGCAACAUGCUCCACAGCGGCAGUAACACCAGAUAUUUAACCCACUGUGCUGGGCUGAGGAUUGAACCCUCUCUGCCACGGAGACAGUGCCAGAUCCUUAACCUGCUGGGCCACAGUGGGAACUCCUUUUCCUUUUUUUAAUAUUAAGAGAUUUUUAGAAUUUGUAAAUGUUAAUUGCUGGGUAAUUGUGUCUUCAGCAGCUCCCUGCAGAGUUGAGGCUGAGAGGGUGGUGUGUUAAAUUCUGCCACAACGGGGAGAUUUCCAUCUGUGCGUCACAGUAUGUGCAUGACUCCAGAGUGAGUUUCUCUGGAAGGUCUGAGCCAGAGUCAGGCUAGUAGCUGUGAGGCAAAAAGCAAUGCUUGCUCUAAGUCCCAUUUUAAUUGUCUAGUAUUUACAUCUAAAUGUUCCCCCCCAAAAUAAACUAAGCCCCUAACUACCCUAAGUUUAAUGCAAAGCCAUUUCAAAGGAAGAGCAACUAUUUCUAUUCUACUCAGGCUAUUAAACUUUACAAGCUAUGAUUGAGAUGGCACAUGUCAAUGUAGGGUAAUUCCUCAAAGAUACAAAGUUUCCUAAAAAUGAUAGAGGUAAGAAAGGGUCGAUGGAUGAUUUUCAAGACUCAUAUUUCAUUUUACAUUUAGGGGUUAGAAUAAAGUAAAGCAUAACAAGAGAAAUGGUUUUUAAUACUGAGUAGAAAAAUGCAAUAUAUAUGUACAAAAUAGAUGCUUCGUUUGAAUUAGUAUUUACAUGUUUUGUGAGCUCAAAUAAUAUAUGUUUUUCAUUAUUUUAGUAAAAUUAAAGAAUGGGCAUUCAGCUAUCUUUAAAUUUUCAUAUUGCUCAAGCUAGUUUAGGCCUGCCAGAUCAUUUUGGUCUAAUAAAUUCCUACGCGAACGUUGCACGAAUACUAAAAGACAAGGUAAUAUUUUUCUUUUAAAUGUGGAUUGAAGAAAAACAUAUUAAUAGAUAGCUACGUUUUUAUGUUAGCCAUUAUUGGAAUUUACUAAUGAGAACUGUGACAUGCUAUUUCCUAUUUCUUUAAUAUGUUCUAUAUUAUAAAAUGUUUUUCGACAUUAUAGGCGUUAAUUGCAUAACUUGAAAAACAAUUCUUCGCAGUUUGGUGUGAUUUAUGGGCCUGCCAGUGGUGACUAGGUACGGGAGCACUUUGGCUUUUGUGGACUUGUGGGGAAAGGAUGUGUGAAAAGUCGAGGACUCCCAAUUAGAGACAGGCUCUGAGAAAAAAUUUUUAAAAAAUCUAUCCUGCUGAGAGGCAGGCAUGUUUUCUGGAUGACAAAUGUCUGGAGUUCUCAGUUUUACAAAAAAAGAGAGCGUUCACCCUUGCCCUCUCCUCCUUUUGUCAUGUAGGUAGGUAACCUAAGCUGUGGAAAAAAAAAGAGAACCAUCUGGAACAAAUACUGUGGUUUCACAGACACAGUCUUAUUCUUGGCCCCAUCCUCUUCCUCUUAUGGAUGGCAAACAGUGUGUGGAGGACAGAUUUUUGGAAAAUUGUCUUAGGAGAGAAAUCCUCCUAAGGCAGUUAUGGUGUGUCAGCAUCUUGGAGGUUUCUAUGCAUUUUGUCAUACUGUUAAGGAGGCUUUCUGUGAGCUGCCGAGCUUCAGGAAGCUUUUACCUUCCACUCAGUUUUAAUUGUGGAAUUGAUGGAAUUUUGCCACCUCUCGAGGUAAGUUAGACAUCAGAGCCUUGGGAUUUAUGUAUGAGCGAUCUUUCACUGCGUAUUGACGUGAAUCUGAAAAGUCCACUACACUGUCUCGGCUAUCACGGUCAACUGAAGAAAUUCUUCACCAGUUUUCUUUGUAAGGGAGAAAUUAAGUACAUCCUUCACGUUAUUUAUGAUACUCCAUACUUUUAUUUUAUCAUGCAUCCCUUCACUAGAGUGGACGACUUAAAUGGCAUCCUGUUACUUGUUUCAGGUGAGAGAACAAGAUUUAAUAUGGAGAAAUAGAGAAAAUUUGCAGCUUACAUUAUCCUGAAAGAGGUACAAUAUUUCAGCCAGUUAAUGGGCGUGGAAAAACCAUCUUGAGAAGAGACCAGGAAUGGUGAGUCCCUAAGCAGAAAGAAGGAAUCUUACUCCGUCUGAAGGGCCUUGGAGAAAUCACCACGACUCCAGCAACAGCGUCGGCUCCAUCUCAGGAGGCAGAACUGGGUUUUUCCAGGCCUGAAGGGCUGCAUAUGUGCAAGGAGGAUGAAAGACAGAGGAAGGAGGACACACCACCAUGGGACUGAACUUCAAAGACAUUAUGCUAGUGAAAGAAGGCGACACAAAGGUCACAUAAUAACUGCAUUUGUAAGGAAUAACCAGAACAGCUAAAUCCAGAGAAACAAAAAACAAAUUAGUGGCUACCAGGGGUUGGGGGAGGGAGGGGUGAGGGAACGAGGGCUUCCUAGGUAUUGAAUUUUCUUUUGGGGUGAUGAAAAUCUUUCAGAACAAGCUAGAAGGCCCUAAACGACCUGGAACUGCUCACUUUAAUAUGGUUAUUGUUAUGGGAAUGUGAAUUUUGUCUCAAUUGAAAAGCACUUGAAAUCAUUUUACUCUUAUGAUAAACCUGUGAUGUGGGCACCAUCUCCCCCAUUUCUCAGAUGACUCAAGUUUUAUUUCACUGAGGUACAUAUUAUUUUUAGCAGAGGAAACUUGGCAUUUGACACUUUAUAAGUGAUGGAAAAAUCUAAGAAUUAAUGCUUUGAGGAAGGCAUAAAAUGACCAAGGCAUGCCGGUCAGGUUCAGCUGAUGCUGACUACCCAGUCCCCUUUGCUAUGAGCGUGUGGAUGGAAUCACUGUCCCAACCAACAGAAGAGGAGCCCACCUGCCUUAGCCAGUGAGACAAAUGACAAAUAACAGAGUGGGCCUGCUUCAUCUUCCUCUGAGCUAUAAAAUCUUUUUUUUUUUUUUUUUUUUUUUGUCUUUUUAGGGCUGCA